UGCCCAGCAACUCCUAUCCCUACCUCCUCGCGGUACCGGCCGGAAACUAUGAGCAACCUUAGGGAAGAUCGGGUAACCAACCCCGGUGGGAACUUUAGUCGUAGGCUAACAGGGAGGG
rnacentral:ribozyme from 1 species